UCUCACAAUCCACCACCCUUCGGAGCCCAGCGUCCUCGCUAGCACUCGUUCCUCUCUCCAAUCGAUGCAGGAUCUCACAGACCUUCUAUAGUCUCCCAAAUCCAGCCUACUAGAAGGUCUCCCAAAUCCAGCCUACUUUUUCCAUAGGUUUGUGGAAAAGAGUGAAUCUGGAUGCAUGGGAAAUUCACGAGGCGCCUAAAAUCUCAACCGCCCAUCAAAGUCCAACCCACAGAAAACAGAUACGACAUACGGUACUCGAGGAUAGACCAAUUAGAUCAAACCAAGUAAGAAUUUUAAGUAUACCCGAGAUUACCCGAGGUUGUUUAUUUAAUCUCUUUAUUCUAGAAUGUUUCAGUCAUGAUUCUUAUUAGUUUUUAACAUUAAUAUCAAAUGCUUAAAUGUUGACGUGCCUUAUAAAUUCCAAAUACGACAUACAAUACUUGAGGGUAGACCAAUUAGAUCAAACCAAGUAAGAAUUUUAAGUAUACCAGUGAUUACCCAAGAUUCUUUAGUUAAUCUCUUUAUUCUAGAAUGUUUCAGUCAUGAUUUUUAAUAGUUUUUGACAUUAAUAUCAAUGCUUAAAUGUUGACAUGCCUUAUAAAUUGCAAAUACGACAUACAGUACUCGAGGGUAGACCAAUUAGAUCAAACCAAGUAAGAAUUUUAAGUAUACCCGAGAUUACCCGAGGUUGUUUAUUUAAUUUCUUUAUUCUAGAAUGUUUCAGUCAUGAUUCUUAUUAGUUUUUAACAUUAAUAUCAAAUGCUUAAAUGUUGACGUGCCUUAUAAAUUCCAAAUACGACAUACAAUACUUGAGGGUAGACUAAUUAGAUCAAACCAAAUACGACAUACAAUAUUUGAGGGUAGACCAAUUAGAUCAAACCAAAUACGACAUACAAUAUUCGAGGGUAGACCAAUUAGAUCAAACCAAAUACGACAUACAAUACUCGAUGGUAGACCAAUUAGAUCAAAUCAAAUACAACAUACAAUACUCGAGAGUAGACCAAUUAAAUCAAACCAAGUAAGAAUUUUAUCUUUGAUAUUGCAUUGAAAAAUUGAUUAUUAGUCCAAUUAGCAUGUCAUUUAAUGUUUAAGUAGAGAUUUAUUAAAUUAAAGUUGAAGGUCGGUAGAUGUUUAUUGAAAUCAAAUAUUCUUAAAGCUCCAACAUUAGAUGAUAGAAAUAUUAGUUGAUGCUUAGGAGCUCUUGAUUAGCAAAAAAUAUUCUAGAAUAAGCGAUAGAAAGAUACUUAGAACUUUUGUACGGUGACAGAAAUAGUGGCAAAUAGAGGCUAUAAUAUUGAAAUGUGCAGAUUCUAAGAAUAAAUAUAUAUGACGAGAAUCGUAUUGCUCCCCACUGGAAUAGCAUCUUCUUAUUCAUUAUUUAAAUUUCAAUGCCUUUUUUA